rnacentral:lncRNA from 1 species
NNNNNNNNNNNNNNCCCGGGUGUGCCGCUCUCAGGUGUGCACAGACCCAGGUGUGCCCGCUCCCAGGUGUGCACAGACCCUGGUGUGCCCGCUCUCAGGUGUGCCCGCUCUCAGGUGUGCCCGCUCUCAGGUGUGCCGCUCCCAGGUGUGCCCGCUCUCAGGUGUGCCCACUCCCAGGUGUGCCCGCUCCCAGGUGUGCCCGCUCUCAGGUGUGCCGCUCCCAGGUGUGCACACACAAACUGCGGCUGCACACACGCCUGUUUUCCCUCCAGUUCCUGUUCCUGGCACCAGCUCUGGGUCCCGCUGGCUCCAGUUCCUGUUACCAGUUCCUGUUUCUGUUACCAGUUCCUGUUCUUGGUACCGGCUCUGGCUCCCACUGGCUCCAGUUCCGGGUACCGGUUCCGGUUCCUGGCACUGGUUCCUGUUCCCGGUACCGGUUCCGGUUCCUGGCACCGGUUCCUGUUCCCGGUACCGGCUCCUGUUCCUGGCACCGGUUCCUGUUCCCGGUACCGGUUCCUGUUCCUGGUACCGGUUCCGGUUCCUGGCACCGGUUCCGGUUCCUGACACCGGCUCUGGUUCCUGGCACCGGUUCCGGUUCCUGGCACCGGUUCCGGUUCCUGUCACCAGUUCCAGUUUCUGGCACUGGUUCCUGUUCCUGGUACCGGUUCCGGUUCCUGGAGCAGCUCUCGGCACCAGCUGCGGGACCCGGCAGCAGCUCUGGGUGGCAGCACCAGUUCUGGAUCAAGGCACCGGUUCCGGUUCCCAGCCGCAGUUCCCGGAUCCCAGAUCUGCCCACCCGCCCGGGGAUCUAUCCAUCCCCGGAUCCCAGAUCUCCCCAUUGCCGGACCAGAUGUUCUGCACCGCUGGCAGCUGGAGCCGCGCUCUGUUCUCCGGCCAGGGGAGGCUGCGGGGGCCGGCAGGGCGUGAGCGCUGGAGCCGUGCCAGGAACCGUGCCAGGAACCGUGCCAGGAUCUGUGCCAGAGCUGUGCCAGGAACCGUGCCAGGAUCUGUGCCAGAGCUGUGCCAGGAACGGUGCCAGGAUCUGUGCCAGGAUCUGUGCCAGGAACCGUGCCAGGAUCUGUGCCAGGAUCUGUGCCAGGGCUGUGCCAGGAACUGUGCCAGGAACUGUGCUAGGGCUGUGCCAGGAUCCGUGCCAGGAUCUGUGCCAGAGCUGUGCCAAGAUCUGUGCCAGGAUCUGUGCCAGGAUCUGUGCCAGAGCUGUGCCAGGAACCGUGCCAGGAACCGUGCCAGGAACCGUGCCAGAGCUGUGCCAGGAUCUGUGCCAGGAUCUGUGCCAGGAACCGUGCCAGGAUCUGUUCCCGGAUCUGUCCCGGUUCUGUCCCGGUUCUAUCCCGGUUCUAUCCCGGUUCUAUCCCGGUUCUAUCCCGGUUCUGUUCCGGUUCUAUUCCGGUUCUGUUCCGGUUCUGAGCCGGUUCUGGUCACAGUUAACCCUCUCCAUGCUGGGUGCACUGGGAGCACUGGGGACAGUUAACCCUCUCCAUGCUGGGUGUACUGGGAGCACUGGUCGGGGUUAACCCUCUCCAUGCUGGGUGUACUGGGAGCACUGGUCACAGUUAACCCUCUCCAUGCUGGGUGCACUGGGAGCACUGGUCAGGGUUAACCCUCUCCAUGCUGGGUGUACUGGGAGCACUGGUCAGGGUUAACCCUUUCCUCCCUGGCGGGGAGCU